CUAAUACAUGCAAGUCGAACGCUUUUUCUUUCACCGGAGCUUGCUCCACCGAAAGAAAAAGAGUGGCGAACGGGUGAGUAACACGUGGGUAACCUGCCCAUCAGAAGGGGAUAACACUUGGAAACAGGUGCUAAUACCGUAUAACACUAUUUUCCGCAUGGAAGAAAGUUGAAAGGCGCUUUUGCGUCACUGAUGGAUGGACCCGCGGUGCAUUAGCUAGUUGGUGAGGUAACGGCUCACCAAGGCAACGAUGCAUAGCCGACCUGAGAGGGUGAUCGGCCACACUGGGACUGAGACACGGCCCAGACUCCUACGGGAGGCAGCAGUAGGGAAUCUUCGGCAAUGGACGAAAGUCUGACCGAGCAACGCCGCGUGAGUGAAGAAGGUUUUCGGAUCGUAAAACUCUGUUGUUAGAGAAGAACAAGGAUGAGAGUAAAACGUUCAUCCCUUGACGGUAUCUAACCAGAAAGCCACGGCUAACUACGUGCCAGCAGCCGCGGUAAUACGUAGGUGGCAAGCGUUGUCCGGAUUUAUUGGGCGUAAAGCGAGCGCAGGCGGUUUCUUAAGUCUGAUGUGAAAGCCCCCGGCUCAACCGGGGAGGGUCAUUGGAAACUGGGAGACUUGAGUGCAGAAGAGGAGAGUGGAAUUCCAUGUGUAGCGGUGAAAUGCGUAGAUAUAUGGAGGAACACCAGUGGCGAAGGCGGCUCUCUGGUCUGUAACUGACGCUGAGGCUCGAAAGCGUGGGGAGCGAACAGGAUUAGAUAC
rnacentral:rRNA from 1 species